rnacentral:rRNA from 1 species
AGUCGCACGAGAAAGGGUAGCAAUACCUGAGUAAAGUGGCGCACGGGUGAGUAACACGUGAAUUAUCUACCUCCGAGUGGGGAAUAACUGAGAGAAAUCUUAGCUAAUACCGCAUAACACUUACGAGUCAAAGCAGCAAUGCGCUUGGAGAGGAGUUCGCGGCCGAUUAGUUAGUUGGCGGGGUAAUGGCCCACCAAGACGAUGAUCGGUAUCCGGCCUGAGAGGGCGCACGGACACACUGGAACUGAAACACGGUCCAGACUCCUACGGGAGGCAGCAGUGGGGAAUUUUGCGCAAUGGGGGAAACCCUGACGCAGCAACGCCGCGUGGAGGAUGAAGUAUCUCGGUACGUAAACUCCUUUCGAUGGGGAAGAUGAUGACGGUACCCAUAGAAGAAGCCCCGGCUAACUUCGUGCCAGCAGCCGCGGUAAUACGAGGGGGGCAAGCGUUGUUCGGAUUUAUUGGGCGUAAAGGGUGCGUAGGCGGUUUGGCAAGUCUCGUGUGAAAUCUAUGGGCUCAACCCAUAGCCUGCACGAGAAACUACCGGGCUUGAGUGAUGGAGAGGUGAGUGGAAUUUCCGGUGUAGCGGUGAAAUGCGUAGAUAUCGGAAGGAACACCUGUGGCGAAAGCGGCUCACUGGACAUUAACUGACGCUGAUGCACGAAAGCUAGGGGAGCAAACAGGAUUAGAUACCCUGGUAGUC